GUGGGGAAUAUUGCGCAAUGGGGGAAACCCUGACGCAGCGACGCCGCGUGAAGGAAGAAGGCUUUCGGGUUGUAAACUUCUUUUGUCAGGGACGAAAAAAAUGACGGUACCUGACGAAUAAGCCACGGCUAACUACGUGCCAGCAGCCGCGGUAAUACGUAGGUGGCAAGCGUUAUCCGGAUUUACUGGGUGUAAAGGGCGUGUAGGCGGGAAAGCAAGUCAGAUGUGAAAACUAUGGGCUCAACCCAUAGCCUGCAUUUGAAACUGUUUUUCUUGAGUACUGGAGAGGCAGAUGGAAUUCCUAGUGUAGCGGUGAAAUGCGUAGAUAUUAGGAGGAACACCAGUGGCGAAGGCGAUCUGCUGGACAGCAACUGACGCUGAGGCGCGAAAGCGUGGGGAGCAAACAGGAUUAGAUACCCUAGUAGUCC
rnacentral:rRNA from 1 species